ensembl:snRNA U2 U2 spliceosomal RNA
AUCGCUUCUCAGCCUUUUGGUUAAUAUCAAGUGUAGUAUCUGUUCCUACCAGUUUAAUAUCUGAUACAUGCUCUACCCGAGGACAAUAUAUCAAAUGGAUUUUUGAAGCAGGGAGAUGGAAUAGGAGCGUGCUCUGUCCACUCCAUGCAUGGGCCUUGUAUUACAGGACCGGUGCACCCCUC